rnacentral:snRNA from 1 species
AUACUCUGAUUUCUCUUCAGAUCAUAUAAAUCUUUUGCCUUUUACUAAAGAUUUCCAUGAAGAGGUACAAUUCUGAGUCUUAACACAAGUUUUGAGGCCUUGCACCUGCAAGGC